UUUUUUAAUUGGGAACUGGAAUGAAUGGUAAUUACUAAGAAGAGAGUUUUAUUUAGUAAAUUUUGAAUUUAAAUUAAAAGUAAAAAUGCUUUUAUUAAUCUUUGGGACGAGAAGACCCUAGAAGCUAAAAAAUUAUAAAUUUUUUAAUUGGGGCAAUUUUUGAAAAAAUGAAUUUUUGGAUACAUAUGAAAGUAAUGGAAAGGAAGUUACUCUAGGGAUAACAGCGUAAUUUAAUUUACAAGUUCUUAUUAAUAAUUAGGUUUGCGACCUCGAUGUUGAAUUAAUACUUAUUUUUGGUGAAGAAGUUUUAAAAAUUUAGUCUGUUCGACUAUUAAAAUAUUACGUGAUCUGAGU
rnacentral:rRNA from 1 species